UAGCACUUUAAUUCUACAAUCCCUCAUAAUUAGUUUCUCUUUCUUCAUCACUUUCACUAAUUCAUUCUUUACUAAUCUUCUCAGCUAAUGGUACGUGCAAUAAGAAGCAAAUAAUAUAUAAGAAACCAAAAAAAAAAAAGAAGAUACAACUAAAUUACUUAUGCAUAUUUUAAAAUAAAAUCAAUUACCUCCGUACAAGUUCGAACAUUAUGACCUUUCUUUUUACAAUUUGCGCAUGUUCUGGGCUUUUUUCCAUACUUUUCUGCAGGAGCCUUAAAUCGCUCGGGCUUUCUCCUUCCUUUGCAUUGUGAAUGUGGAGGGUCCUUCACUAUCAACCCAAUUUUACUUGAUUGCGUAAAGUCACUCACAAAGUGAGAUGAUCUCAUUGACAAGGCUUGUUCAUCUCCAAUAUCAUCAGUAAUAUUAUCUCCUUAUUUUUCUUUCAUGGCUUGAUUUAGUAAGAUGAUCUCCUCAACAAGUCUAUCAAUUUUUUCACAUGCCAUUUGAUAUGACUCAAAAUUCUUUGAAGCUUCAAAUGGUAUUUUCUGUACUUUAAGACUGAGUGCGUUGAAUCUUAAAGCUUUCGAAUUUAAGGAAUCACCAGCUUCUAUGCUUCUUAAUUUCAUGCUAAGGGAUCCUCUUUUUGCCACUUUGGUCCAUCGUUUCAUAAUAUAGUCAGGAGAAAUUUUACGCAUAUUAAGAUGAAUCAUAACUUUUAAUGCAUGAGAGCAUAAAAGACCACUAAAUUCAAAAUACUUACAACUACAUUCAACUCUUUCUUUACUUGGAUUAAUACUAACUGUGAAAGAUUGUACUGUUUGNGAUAAAGCUUCAAGGCUUCAAAACAUAGAUAACUUUGAGAAAGAGGGAGAGAGAUUGGGCGAAGCCCUUAAAGGUACAGUCAUCCAAGCAAGGUCAUUUGAAUUCCCGCAGUCGGCUAACCAGGGAAUCCAAGACUUCAGUAAGCCUGCAGGCCUUGCUUUCAGCAAUCCUCAAGAAUAGCUCCUGUUCUUUCUUCCGUUCCACUGCCUGAUUGAUGCGGGUAGCCAAGUGUGAAGCAGACUUCAUCAUCUCAUCUCUUCUCACUGUCUCGUCUGCGAGCUCCUUCUUCUUUCGCUCCAGUUCCCGACUUGCUUCCGCUAGUUGGACAAUCAGCUGCGGUAUCUUCUCUUUAAGAUUCGCGAUAUAAACCGGGAGCCGAUCCAGGCCCGUAGUGCUUCACGUCCAGAUGCCACCUCUUCGGCCGUACAAUUAUUAGGCAAGCAGCAGAACGAGGCACUCCUGGGUUUGAUGAAUCGCGUCCCUGCGUCCUGAGAUAGAAGCAAAGUAGUGAUGAUCAUCCAAUAUUUCCGAUAGCUCCCGAAUGACUGGGACAUGGCGGGAAGAGAAUGAAGGGUGACUCUUGAGAAGGUCCAUCUGAUGCUUCAUCACCUCAAUCUCGUUUGCGGUAAUUUACCUCCAAUCUUGCCCCAAUUGGUUCUUGAGUGCUUGAAGCAGAGGCAAAGACGAUUCUUAAUAGGUAUGAUCAGAGGCUGGAGCAUUAGGCAUUUCCUCGAGGAGGAGGCUGACUACUAGAAGCCCCCGUAGUGAAGAAGGAGGCACCGAACAUAGCUGCAAUUUCUCGAAGAGACUGGGGGAGGCCUAUCUAUUAGUUAGUGUACGGGGGUGGGAAUAGAUUAUAGGCUGGAACACCUUUUUAGUAUCUAACUAAAAGGACGGACUGGCAGUGCGAUAUCUUGAGGAAGCGAGAACAGUCCGAGAUGAUGAGUUGCAGUGACCAAGACUCGCACGGUGGCUUUGUAUCCCAGACUGAGGGUUCGGUUCUCGAUACGGGAUUGACGUGAGGAAAGGUUUUUAGCCACCGAUAACCGGCUCAAUGAGCACCUUCGAGAUGAAAAAUUCCGAAUGCUAAAAGCAUAAGACUUUCUCAGAGAAGCUUGAGCUACUCUUUUCGGUAAAGAAACUUUUCUAUUCAAAAGGUGGAGCUCAAUCCAAAGCAAAGGCAGUCCAGCUACUUCUUUCUUCGCGUAUCGAAAUUCCCCUCUGUUCUGUCUGGUGAAGGAAGGCCCUUUAGGUCAAGUUGAAGACAAUCUAUGGCUAACUAAAAAGAAAGGCCAUUUCUUAGAAAGCGGAAUAGACUACUUCACAAGCUUGAAGGCUAAAGUACAAGAGUCUUGAGAAAGCACAAGUGCCGAGAGAUUGACUCCAUCAGCAGUCCAAUUGCAUUAGCAAUGAAAACGGGCCUGGUGACCGUGACCCAAGGAGCGAAGAGACUCGACCAUAAGGGCUAGUGGUCCCUAUCACAGUCUUGACGAUUUUAAUUGGUUUGAUGCCUUUCCCGCGUUCCCGCGGGUGAGUUGAUUCCUCAUUUCCUCAUUCAGUGCUCUUCCAAGCCCUACCUGCUGUUCCCAUAAACUCUUUUUCGCCGCGGUACUUUGAACCAAAGCCAAAGCAAAGUAGGAAAAUGAAUGCUAGCUUUCUACGGGACUAUAGUAGCCGGUGGAAUGGCUUUCUUCAAGGCAGGAGGAGGCCGUCCAGACUUGCCGCUCUGACUUUGAGUCACUGCCAUGCCUAGCCGUCACCACUUUGAAAAAUUUCUUUGACAUAUAUGGGAUUCCACGGCACUUUUCGCGUGCUCUUGAAAUUGAAAGAAACACCGUCAACUCGCGUAUCCCGAAGACAGAAAGCGACCGGUGCGCUCCUGCUUGGAAUUCAUUGGAAGAGAGGUGAGGUUGAGGUCUUUCCCUUUCCCAACAAACUUAAUGAAAAGGGAAUGGGACUUUUUCAUUCGGCGCGGUGCAGCCUACACUUUGAUGAGCACAGCGCAGUUCACGUCACAGCUACUUUAUUGUUCGCUACUAGACUACGAUAUUUUCAUUUCUUAGAAAGAUUUUCGUAAGUGAUAACUGAAAAUUCAGACCGAUAUGUCAGGACAGGAUAGAACACCCCCAAUCUGUCGGGGGGCACGGCACCUUCGUGGGUUCGUUGAAUGUUACUUUGGGUUUUUGGGGGUGAAAGCCCCUGAGACUCUCCUUAGCGGUGUAGAGAAUCCCUCUGAGGAAAGAGUAAGAAAGCAAAAGGCCACUAAACGUCCCUGCUACGGUUAACUUCACACUAACCAAGUCUCUAAGAUUGAGUAGGAAAGUGGAAGAGGCAACGGAAAAAAGAUUCAUUGCCUGACGUGAACGGACGCUUAUUAACUAGAUGAAAGGAAAGGCUACUUCUUGAUAAAGGAAAUGAACUAGUCCAAUCACAUGUAUAGUGGUCGGAGGAGUCUUUCUUCUAACUAGGGCGAUGACUACCAUUCCUACUCUUUGGAAUGCUAAUAAAAAGUAAAGUAAAUCGUAGAUCUACGAAUACCGUAGUCGCUAAACACCUGGAUAAAGAUCCUUUACUAUUGGGAUCUUUCUCUCCUCCUUACUAUAAGAAUAUAGUAAGCAUAUAAACUAUCCUCUCUCUUAGCAGUUGAGGAAAAAAAGACGGGGAAAAUGAAACUUUUGAAAUGCUUUUCGUAAGGCAAGGAAGUCAGUGCAAGUAGGCGAGGGCAGUUCCGGUCUACGAUUUCUGGGUGUAUAUACUCUUUGUCGUUGUAGCAAUCUUUCUGACCUUCCUUAGGGGAGUGAAGAGAGAAUGCUUGGUAGCAGGACAGUAGGAGUUCAGUAGGCGGGCCAGUAGCACGCAUGCCAAGGAGACCCAGAGUGAAAAGUAAGUUGUAAACCAGUCAACUAGCUGAAGUUAGAAAGUUCAGAAGUAGCUGCUCUCCUAGCUGCAAGUUUGAACAUCCGCUGCCAUCAAUAUCUGCUCUUUGUGUUAGCAAGAUCCGGUCUUACUGUUAGAGAAGAGGAGUAGGAGUGUCCGGGCUUAAGCCAGUCCAGUCUAUUAGCAAAGAGCGAUUCUUUAAGCCCAAAGGCUAGCGAAUCCGACUGACUUCGACUGAAAUUUGCUUUUUUUAGCACCGAUGAGCUCUUCCCGGGGCAAAGUCCUAAUCAAAGCAGGCAAAAGGCGAGAAAGACCCAGGCAAAGGGGGGAGUUCUUCUUAAAUGAAUGAAUUUCUCGAUUGGAACCUUAAAUCUGAAUAGAGUGGAAAAACCAAGCCAAGAUUCAUCGCCCGAAAGCACGGGAAUCAACUUGACUUCUCAGAUGCGGAUUGAUUUCUAUUUCUUUUUUUAUGAUAAUCGUAUCUGCUUUUUUUUACGAGAUACUAGAGAAUAGAAGAAGCUGGUAUUUUUUUUCACGCUAAAGAAAGAGAUUUUCUUCCCCGACAGCCUAUAAGUCUUAACUAAAAUUGCCAACAAUUCCGGAUUCCUUUUUUUAUUGUUUAGUUAAUACCGAGCGCCCAGUUCUGACUCUCCUAUUCGUCCAGUGUUGAAAGGCAGCUUCGAGGCAUAGAACCGUGAAGUGGUUUUAGCGAAGCCGGGAUUCAGGAAGUUCAGCCGAGGGCAAGAAAUGAAAAUGAAAUAGGAAUUGUCUAUACUCUAUCACCUGAAGGUGAAGAAGUAUGAGACUGAAGAAGUUAGGCAUCUGUAGCAAAGUCAGUAGCAAAAGAAGCAAAGGCCUUUGCUUCUCACUUUCUCGAUGGGAAGAAUAGCUUGGGCUCACGCUCACCAUCCAAGCUCCCUCCUAGAACGGCAAUUGGGCUGCAGUUCUUCCUUUCCUUCUUAAAAAGAUCGUAGCGUAGAGUCAUCACAGAAGUAGAAGUCAGACAAGAGUUUACUAGGAUUCAACAAUCCCGUUGAAUGUCUAUCACUUGAACAUUCUAGGCAGUUUGAACUUUUCAUACAAACUCGAAUAUCAAAUAUAAUUAGUAAUAAGUGCAUUUCCCCUUUUUCAAGAAAUCCCACAUCCCAUCUAUCGAGAAGAGGAAUAAGAGUUUAGUUGGCUCUCAACAAAAAAAAAAGAAGCAAGAAUCAUUCUGUUUCAAUGCUCGGCUCGGUAAAGUAAGAGAAGAAUGCAGAAUAAAAGGAUUAAUUUGAACCUUACGCCAAGCAAAGGUGAAAGGUGGGUAUAGGCUUCGGAAGCAUAAAAGAAAUAGCCUAAAUCUUCCUCAGAAAGGGGCCAAAAAGCAUACUUAUAGUCUAGACUAGUUGUAUGCUAGCUCGUGUAGUAGUCGUCUAGCUGCUGUAGCGUUUAGUCUAGGUCUAGUUUUGGCGAAGCGAGUGGUAAAUCCGCUCGCGAGCGAGCGAAUCAUUCUAUACUUGUAUGUAUGCUAGUAUGGUUAGUAGUAGAGAAAGCAAAGCGAAAGCUAGGAGAUAUAGGAGAACCAUGGGUUGAGGACAAAGGCUUCAAAAAAGUAUCGAUUGGAACAACCAUACUUGAUCUUGCCUCUUUCAAUAGCAGAAAAGGAGAGUUAGAAAUACUGCUACUACUCUUAGCGUGGAAAUUUGCCGCAGGCUACUGAUGGCACUGAGUCAGUGACGCGACUUCCAGUUGAAAACAACCUAGGAAAUACCCGGAAAAGUCCUCCUUAGAAGAUCCCAAGUCCCAUCCUCAAGUCAAGUCUUAUUCUUCUCGCACCCGAGGGGAGAUACGCUGUGAACAAAGAGUCUGUCUAAUCACAACUCUUUUCUUAUCCUCUGCAGUUAGCUCGAGUCAAGGAAAGAAUGUAAUUAUUGGCCAAUUUUCCCGACUUUCCUAAAGCGGGCUGAUGAGGCCUGCUAUGACAAGGGAUAGAUAGGACUUUUUUUCCUAUGGCGAUAUACAUGCCCUCUGGAUACGACCCAAGAAUCAACCAUUAUCUAUCUUCCUAGUACCUUUGUAUGAGCACAGGUGACUCUAUUAGUUAUAGUACUUUUUCAGUUAAGAUGUCAUUAAGGGUACGGUCAUUACGCAGCAAUCUAUCUUGCCCACUGGGCGCGUAUGGUAAAAUGAAACUUAGAUAGAUCCUCUGGGCCUAAGUCGCUCCUAAAAAAAAGAGUCUCUUCGAUCUGGAUUCAGAGGCUUCAUCUAAGUAGAGUGAAAGAUGGGCAGUCCCAGCGAGGGGAAAAUGAAAGUGUAACCGCUUCAACAAAUGAGCUUAGCUAGCUCAAUCCCAUUGCAUCACCAGAUGCCAUGUACAGAGAUAGACUUUGCCUCUUCUCUGCGGGUCUUUCCUCUGCUGGUUAGUAGUCGCUUAGUCCUACUUUCCUUGUUUACUGUAGUCCUAACCAGACCCUGUGUACGUCUAGAGAAAGAGACUCUAUUUAUCAUUUAGUCUAGCUAACUAGAACCCAAUAUCAAUCUGGAAGAGUUUGAUUGAUUCUUUUCUUUAUUAAGGCAGGUUCUCUUCCGGCUUCGGGAAAUGAGAGGUCGAUCGUAUAGUAAGAUCCCGCGUUUUGCUUGCUUCAGUGAGCAUUUCGUGUUCCACGAGUGUGGUAUCAGCUCUUUAGCUUGGCUAACUGAAUCUGAUAUGUUCCACGCUCGGAGGUGCGGGACCCUCCCCUCUUCCGCCCCUUUCCACCCGGAGAAACCUAUGGUCAUUCUUCCUACCAAGGGAAAGAGGAGGCCGAUCGAUGGGCGCACAUACAACUCCUAACCAUUCACCAUCUUUAUGUAGAUGUUCAGUGCAAGGGCAGACCGCUGCUGGUAGCCGUAAUUGGGUGGCGCGCUAUAGAUCGGAUCCUAAGUAGCUAUAGGAUGAACCCAGGAAGACGGCCCUACCGGAGGAAGCGGGUAAUCUCCGUAACGAUUCCAACGGCCUAGCUAAGUGGAUUCAAUGUCCUCUUGAUCACCUGAAGAGAUGUUGUGUUGAGGCAGAAUGGGACAAAUUUGACCACCGUGAGGAUUGGGAUUGAGCUGCCAAAAGAGAUUCUCCUCCGUUUUGGGAAAGAUUCAUUUUUUCAGUCCAUAGACAAAAGAAAAAAAGUAUUAUGAAGCCAAAUGCUCUUGGAUGAGUAGUUGAAUAGAGAGUGAAAGACUUGAUUCUCAUUCAUCUUGAAUGUAGUCUAUCACUUUGAGGUCCUGAGAACCUUUUUGAUUGAUAUAAAUUAUGGCAUGCAUCUCUGACUCUGAGGAGAGUGGCACGGCCAAACAUCAUCCAAGAAGCGAAUCUGCUUAUCAUUAUAAAAAGGAUAGCCCAAGUUAUGACUGACAGUCUCUCUGUAUCAAAGAAGACCUUUAUGCAGGAUAUUGAAGAGGUGGUUUUUUUCCCUUGGAGAGGUACUUAGCAGCCAAAUAUGAACACCAUGACUUGUUCUUUUCCUUUUUCAAUCUCCAUAGCCACUUCAUAAUAGGGGCUGGCUUGGUUGAAGUCCACCUCCUUCGUGAAGGUGAUUGAAAAAAUUAAUAAAAUAAAACAGAUUUCAUUUUUGUUAGGGGAUAAGGAUGAACAUGACGAGGUCUGAUUUCAUUCAAACAUAUCUAUCUCAAUCUUUUGGCAAUUUCCUCUUAUCAAAUCACAUCAAGAUGACAUUUUAAGGAGUAGGGAAGGCUACUCUGGGAAUUCAGAUUAUGGGGUCAUAAGAGAUGGAAAGGGUGCUGUCAUGUGGAAUUGAACAGAUCUCCUCUCGCUCUCGGGAUCAAAGAUGCAACCUUUGCCUUUGCAGAAGCAGAAACUCUCCUGCAUGGCCAUAGUUUUUGACAAGUCAUCAUAUCAAACAAAAAGGGGUUCUAUUAACAUGAAACGAUGGGCGAAUGGUAAUCAUCAAUAACCUUGGCGCCUAUGCUUUAUCCUGAGAAAACAUUUCUCAAUCUAUUGAUAUUCUAAAAGAAAAAAAACGAGCCUAAAAAAUAGAAAGAAUUUGAGUACCACGAAGAAAAGCUAGCUGGAUCAAAAAAAGGGAUCGCCCGCUCGGCAAUGCUACCUUGGGGAGAAGACAAAACACUUUCAUCUUGAAUAUAAAAACGAAGACUAAUUAAUAUAUAAUUAUAUAUAUAUAUAUAUAUAUUAAUAUAUUAUGAAACAGAAAGAUUACUAUGGAAGAGUUGGUGAACAUUUUUCUGACUCAUAGCUCUAAGAUGACUAGCAUGAAUGAGCCAGCUUCAACACCACCUAGACUAUUCUUGCGACCUCAACAUAAAAGUAGGAGCCUGGUCUGUCUAUUUUUACGCAUUGGCGUAAUUCACUCCUAACCUUCCCUCGAAAAACUGCCUGGUAAAGGGCUUUUAAAGGGAACGAGAAAGGGGUUUGAUAAGAAAGACUUUUUUAGUGUCCCGCUUGUUAACAAACAUCGAGUUUGAAGUCGAGGCAGCAUGGAGACGAGACUAUUGAAGUUCAGUUUUGAAUCAUUAUUUAUAUAUUAAGAUUCUAAAUUGGAGAAUACCAAGGCCUUUCAGCGAUUCGCCCCCCCCUAAGCUAGACGCUUCACCUACCUGACCUAAGAUAGAAUAGAAUGAGUCGCCCUACCCUAGCCCUAGUCUUACUAUUAGUAAGAAUUGCUUUCCUUUGUAGGAUAGUAGGGCGAAUGAAUCGCGUCUUCGAUCUUUCAUAUAUAAAAAUAUGGAUUUGAAUAAAGCCGUGAGGACCCCUCUAAAAAUAGAAACUAUAAAUUGAUUUGUUUGAUUGACAAACCUACCCAUGGGGAAGUUCAAUAGAACAAGGGAAUUUUUUUUUCUAGAUCAGAGGAGAGAGCGCUAACAACCUGUUCAGUUGAUCUGAAAGAGCCAACCGAACCGGAAAAGAAAAAGAUUAGGUAAGAAUCCAAACCAGCAUCAGCCGAACUAACAUAUCCAGUUUCUCUCGCAAAAUAUCGAGUUUAUCCUAAAGCAGCAUUUCUCGAAGUAGCAUUCCCAUCCAUAAGCAGAGGAUGAAACAAAACACUUUAUUUUUUAUCCCGACUUUUUUGAAUCAAUCAAACGAGCCUUUUUUUUAGCCACAUCUGAAUCGGAUCCCUAUCCAUAUCUUUAUGCGCAGGGGCAUCCAAACCGAAUCUGUAAAAUCCAUUUUGAAUCCCCAUCCGUACCCUAGCUAAAUCUAGUAUAGUGGGUAUUGUUCCGAUGCCAAAUCUAAAGAAUCAAUCUUUUUUUUUUUUUUUAAGGCGGACUGGACCAACUCGCAGCUCGUAGCAGAAAAAUGGCUGAUUCGAUUCUUGCAUAAGCAAGUCCACCAAUAGGAAUACGAAUUGGAUCAAAAAUGGCCAACGGUCGAAGAAGAAGACGAGACUGAAUUCUGAACUAAGAUUGAGGACCCGAAGUAUGAAUAUAAAACUAUAUCUACAUCAUUAACAAAAUGGGAGUUUAAAAGUGGUCCCAUCCGAUAGGGCUUGAAUAGUGAUUUCCCAAACUCUGGCAUAUUCGGUCCCCAUGCCUUCAACUAUCUCUGCUGAUCUUUUUUUUUUCUAAUCAACAACUAGUACCCCCGCCGAUAUCAGAAAUUGAAGUACAAAUGAGCCCUCUUUUUGUUGGAAAAAAAGAAAUAGAUAGCAAGAGGACCCAUUCUCAUUGAAAAAGCAAAAGAUCACCAUCGCAGAGACAUUCUUACACACUAUGCGGUUGGUUUACGUGCAUCUCUCUCAAUAGAGGACGGACAACCAUAAUCAAUUUAUCUCUUUUUUCAGCAUGGAUGCCACCCUGGAGAGUUUUAAAAUAAGAUUUGACAGACGUUCAACGCGCUUCAAAAUACAUUAGCCAAUAUGAGACGUAAACAUGUCAGUCAGCCGGGUCUAAAAUCCACUUUUCAGUCUCAUUGCUUUCUUUUUGAGUCGUAUAAAAAUAUUGUCAAUUAUGGAAUCUAUCUUUAAGGCCAGCCCUAUCUUUUCUUAAGAAAAAUGCAAUAAAGAAUUUCAUGAGAUGGUUGUACCAGAGAGAGAAAGAAAUGGCUUCUCUGCUUGAGAAUUUUUGGCUAUGAGGCUCUUUGAAGAUCCAGGUAGACAACGAUGAGUCAUGGGGAGGCAGGCAAGGGGAAAAGGGAUGUUUGCUUUGGUACCUGUCAAUCAUUUUGAAUCCCGCUUUCAUUGACCUUGAAGUCUGAGAUCAGGGUUUUUCUUUCCAUCAAAAGAUCACAAAUCAUAGGGGUGAUCAGUCCUCUUUCAAUCCUUCAUCUUCUUAUGAGUAGCCGCCGCAGGGGGUCCUCAGUCUUCAUCGUCCACUAGCAUUGGGCCAACAGUCAGUCUAGCUCUCGCUCUUGUCCAAUUUCCUUAUCCUUUCAGGGCAAGGUCGGAGUAGUAUAGUAGGCAAAUACAAUUUCUUUUGUUGCAUGCGGACCCGCUUGUGAGACUGAAGAAAUUGAAGCUAAAUGACAAUCUGAACCUAAAAGCUUACAGGAUCCUUAAGGAACUGUGGACUUUUGCACCUUUCUGUCUAGCUUGAAUAGUUCUCUCCCCUCGGCAAAGUGGAUAGGAAGGAGUGAAGCUUCCAUUCCACUAGCAAAGAAUAAGGAGAGUGACUUUCUCUUUUGAACCGAGCUCUCUCUUAAGCUGACUUGAAAAAAGUGCCCCUCAGAGAUAUAGGGACCACCAUGCUCGUACACUUUCUUGAUAAACGAAAAGAUGCAUUUUCUCUUCCUUGCCGCUGAGACUGAAACAUAUCAAAAAGAUCUAUUACUAAAAGGAGAUUGGGAUCAUCCUGUGGUUACCGGAUGAUGGGAAUAACUAAGCAGAAAUUUGGAAAUGAGCACGAAAUGUCUAUAAAUUCAUUCUCUCAUUAUUCGUUAUUUCCGGGUCUUUUCGUUGCAUUCACUUACAACAAGAAACAACCACCAGCGUUUGGUGCAGCACUUGCAUUUUGGUGCAUUCUUCUUCCUUUCCUUGGUCUUUCGUUCCGUCAUAUUCCAAAUAACUUAUCCAAUUACAACGUAUUAACCGCUAAUGCACCUUUCUUUUAUCAAAUCUCAGGGACAUGGUCUAAUCAUGAGGGUAGUAUUUUAUCAUGGUGUUGGAUCCCAAGUUUUUAUGGAUUCCUUCUUUGUUACCGGGGUCGACCCAAAAGCCAUAAUGUCUCAAAACUCAGAGGCUAUAGAGAAACUUUUCUUUUUUCCUUUGUCUCGAACUUCGUGACCAUUCUAUCUCUCCAACAAAAAAGUGGGGCUGUGCCCCAGUUGUACACUCCCUUCGUUCUACGAACCCUUGUUGAUUCUGAACUUCGUUCGCGAAGGAACCGGACUUUUAACGGGCCAGCCCUUUUUAAUGCGCCGCUUGACCCUGUUCUGAAAAUGAGCUUUGCUCUUCUGGGCGCUGGGCGCUCCCGUGGUUCGCGAGAAGGAAAAAGGACUAAUCUUUUGUUGCAUCUGGCACGAGAUGAAAAAGAGAGAGCUUCGUCUAUCGAUGAAGAGCGGAUUGACGGAGCUCUUGGCAUUGCUUUGUUUUUCUCUCCUUUCCUAUCAGCGAGUUCCGAUCCUUUUGUUCGAAAUUUCUUCGUUCGUACCGAACCGCUUGCAGAAUCAAAUCCUGUUCCACAAGAUCCUAUAUCAGCUAUACAUCCUCCUCGCAUUUAUGCCGGAGACGUCGCCAGUGCUAUGGGCUUUGGCUUAUGUAGAUCAAAAAUGAUGAAUGGGAUUGUGGCACUCCACUCGCCGCCAAUGCGGAAGGAUGCCGCCGAAAAGAAUGGAACGCUGCUUCGCUCUGCUGGAUGCGUCGGAUCCCAUAUAAGAAGCUCGCUCUUUACCCGAUCAUUCAAACAUUUUGUGGGCGGCGCACCUGCUCUAUUGUUGCGUAGCAAUAGAAGCCUGCUCAUGCUGCUUCGGCGGCGCUUUUUCGCCUUCUCUUCGCUCGGGACAGGAGCGCUAAUGGACACGGGGAGGGAGCAGGCGAAGCGUGUCGUUCGUAAUGGAAAGAAAGAGACCAAAACUUCGCCUCUUUGUUGGACCGCCGGCGCGAACACAGUGGUCUCUGACCAGGACCUGGAACCAAUUCGAAUUUGGAUCUUGACAUGUCGGUUGUUUUUAACCGUAGGCAUCUCGCCGGGAAGUUGGUGGGCUCAUCAUGAAUUAGGUCGGGGUGGCUGGUGGUUUCGGGAUCCCGUAGAAAAUGCGUCUUUUAUGCCUCGGGUAUUAGCCACAGCUCGUAUUCAUUCAGUAAUUCUACCCCUUCAUCAUUCUUGGACCUCGCUUCUUAAUAUUUUGACUCUUCCAUGCUGUGUCUCAGGAACCUUUUCAAUACGGUCCGGAUUGCUAGCUCCCGUUCAUAGUUCUGCUACAGACGAUACACGAGGAAGAUUUUUAUGGUGGUUCUUCCUUCUAAUUACAGGCAUAUCGUUGAAUCUUUUCUACCAGAUGAAGCAGCAGGCAUCGGUCCUUAGAACCUAUAAAAAAGAGAUAGUUGUGGCGCGAAGUACUCUUGUGCACCUACGUCACUCGGCUCGCGCGCAACCCCGCCCCCUUAUGUUAUGGAAGAAUGACGCUUAUUGCUGGGCUGGUUAUUCAGAGCCAGCAAUUGGCUGCCGGAUUUCGUCCCGUCCGUAGCGCUUCGGAAGUCACUGUGGCGUGGCUGAAUGUAGAGCAGUCCGCUAGUUUCUUUGAUCCCACAAGGUCUUCCUUUUCAUUCGAUAAUCAACCGUCCUCCUAUGGAUCCCUUUGAUAUUAAUUUAUUGCAGGAAAGAAUUGAAACAAAAGUCACUUCCCUUAUCGAACAACAUGGACUUCAGUCCAUUUAUGGUGAUAAUUACACAUUCAUAGGACAGUGGUUACACGGAGAGAGUCAAAGUGUCGAUUUUCUGUUCUAUUUGUACACUGAUUUGAUCGAAUCGGGAAUAAACGGUUCUGCUUUCUACGAAGCGAUGAUGUGCUGGGUCCAAUAUUUUUGUUGCUAGUCUUUGGUUGGUUGGCAUUCCAAGUAGUAUAGAUCCCGAAUUACUCAAAUCCUUCUUAGAAAAAGGUGGCUUAACUAACGAAAGAAAGAUGGAACCAGAUGCUUCUUUAAAAGAAAGCGCUUUGCCUUACCUGUGAAUUGUAUACAAAAGAAAAAACGUGAUGAGCGUAGCCUACCUAAAAGAAGUACGCUAUGGUUCGACGGCCAAUGCGGCUUUCUCAUUCUUGUACUAGACCAACCUCUCGAUAUGCCCGAGAAAAAAGGAAGGUGGCGAAGAGGAAUCGACGAAGAAUCCAGGAAAGUAGAGCUUUGGAAAAGCGUGACGAGCAAAUUCUCGUCUCGAGAUGUUAGAAGGUGCUAAAUCAAUGGGUGCCGGAGCUGCUACAAUAGCUUCAGCGGGAGCUGCUGUCGGUAUUGGAAACGUC
rnacentral:lncRNA from 1 species